rnacentral:lncRNA from 1 species
GACUCCAUCUUUGGAAAAAUAAAAAAUCCCUUUCUAGAGUUAUCAAUUUUGAGUUUUCUACUAAGAAUUUCUUGGAUUUUUGUUGAAAGAUUUUGCCUGAUCAUUGUUGACACCUUGUCAGAGAUUACGUAAAGACCACUCCUCCUUUGUCUCCUCUCUUUUCUAGCUUUUAAGCCAUUUUUUAUUGCUUAGAUUUAAGUUAGCAAGUUGCUGCAAUCGUAUUUAAGUAGAGGCAACACUAUUGCAACCUUCCUGGUUUACUACCAUUUUGGCAAUGAAGAGCUUACCAACGGUGAAGGAGAGGUUGCUGAACCUUCCUUAUUUCUUCUUCCUAGUCUUUAGGCCACUGCCAACACUUUGAUUUGGUCCGAACUAUCGGAAAACUUGAACAAGGACUCCCCCAUUCUUUGUUCUCUUUCCCUUAUUUUCCUUCACCAUCACCAUCGGUUAUAGUUUGCUAGCCCAGCCAUUUGCUGCCAUGGU